UUUAGCAUUAUAUUAAAAUUUAUUUUAUCACCUACCGUUGCUGGGCUAGCAAAUUUAAUCACCUGUCGAACUUAACAAAAUAUCUUAAUAUUGAUAAAGUAAAGAAGAUGUUGGGUGGGGGGAAUGAACGAUCAAGAAGGGUUUUAAAAAGCUAUGUAGGUUUAUUAAUUAAGUAACCAAAAUAGUUUCAUACGGUAGCAUCUGAAGGAUUAGUUUAACUUGUCACAUAAGAGGAAUUCGUCUCGUUUGCUUUGGUGUCUUGUGACAGUUUAGGACUUUUUCAUGCAUGCUUGGAUCAUACACGGUUCUAUCCACAUAUUCACAUAAUUAUGGAGUUCUAAAUUUUUACUUCAAAGCUAAUAUUAAGUUCACCCACCUAUAUUUACUGAUGAGUGAUGCAAUAUAAUAUAGAACUCAACGCUGCACCUUUAGAGCAUUAUUACAGGUUUAGGUGUGUCUCCUUUUUUCAUUUAUUUCUAACUCAAACUCAUUACUUAUUAAUUGUUGGCAUAUUGCCUGCUAACAAUUGAAGUGGUGUAACCUUCCUUGGGUAUUCUUCUAAUUGUUUCUUAAUUGACUCCCAUUUCCUGCAAAUUAUUUAUCCAGAAAA